GGGCGAUUAGCUCAGUUGGCUAGAGCACUUGUUUUACACACAAGGGGUCGUAGGUUCGAGUCCUACAUCGCCCACCA
rnacentral:tRNA from 1 species